rnacentral:rRNA from 1 species
CUUGGUCAUUUAGAGGAAGUAAAAGUCGUAACAAGGUUUCCGUAGGUGAACCUGCGGAAGGAUCAUUAUUGAAAUUAUAGGUGAGGGUUGUAGCUGGCCUCUCGGGGCAUGUGCACGCCCGAGCCCUUAAUCCACACACACCUGUGAACCUAUUGUAAGGGCCCUUAAAAAAGGCCUUUACGUCUUAUCAUCAACCCAUCGUAUGUCUCAUAGAAUGUAAAUAUAUGUCCUCGCCUUAAAAAGCGUUGAUAAACUUAUACAACUUUCAACAACGGAUCUCUUGGCUCUCGCAUCGAUGAAGAACGCAGCGAAAUGCGAUAAGUAAUGUGAAUUGCAGAUUUUCAGUGAAUCAUCGAAUCUUUGAACGCACCUUGCGCUCCUUGGUAUUCCGAGGAGCAUGCCUGUUUGAGUGUCAUUAAAUUCUCAACUCUGAUCGAUUUGUUUCGACUUCGGAGCUUGGAUUUGGAGCGUGCUGGCGUCGGUCGGCUCCUCUUAAAUGCAUCAGCGGAAUCUAACGUUUCGGAUGUCAGUGUGAUAAUCAUGUUGCGCUGUCUGUCUGAUCCGAAAGCCCGCUCACAAUGGUCUUCGGACAACUUCAUAUCAAAUUUGACCUCAAAUCAGGUAGGACUACCCGCUGAACUUAAGCAUAUCAAUAAGCGGAGGA